AAUACCAUGCGUAUCCUGUACAUACGACUAAUAACGCUUAAAACUAUCCUGAGAUAUCCACUAACUGUGGUCCUCAAAUAAAUAUGCCAUUGCUUGUUUUUGUUUUUUGCAGGCCGAUAUUUCAAAAUUAGACUUUGUUGCUCAGACGAGAGCUAAAGACUUGGUGAAAGAGUCUGCUGCUGCUGCCGUGUUACCCCAGAAAAACAAACUAAUAACACCACCACCUCCAGGCUUAAAGAUGUGAAGACCAUGAUUCAGACUGGUGGGCCUGGAACAGCAGGACGUAAACCCCUGUCAGAGCAGCCAGAGGACAGACAGAGCACUGAGGAGCCGAACAAACACACCACUGGCCCCAAUGUGAGACUGACCAUCUCUAUCUCAACAGGUGGCCAGCCCAGAGUGGAUGGAUUGCCCCCCCCAGCCCUCCUCUGUCCUCAUGAGUGACCGGCCAGUGAUACUGACCACCUCCAUGUCCCCCACCCAGACCGGCCCCGGCCCCCCAAACCCACCGUGGCCAUCCUAAAGGUGGUCUGAGCAGAACAGAAGACAACCACAGCUCCAAGUACAAGUAAGGGUAGCCUCAGCUUCAGUAUUUACAUUUACAUUUUAGUCAUUUAGCAGACGCUCUUAUCCAGAGCGACUUACAGUAUCUGCCUGGUUGUGCAUUUCAGGAUCAUCCCAAAUGUAAUGGCAUCAUUGUGUGUACUGUAUAGUUCUGCAUUUUAAUCAUGCAUCUAAUGUCUGAAUCUCUGAAUGCACCAGGUUCAGCCCAACACCAACACCAACCCCCAGCCUGAGCCCAGCUCCACCACCACCUCCACCUGCUGCUGAUCCACCUCCAGACAUACAGGUAUAGUACAGUGAUAAGACCCCAAUCAAUAUGCAUCAACUCAAAUUGAAAUGUACCAUACUUUUCUCCCUCCCCCACCAACCCUAUGGGCCCUGGUCAAA
rnacentral:lncRNA from 8 species